AGUGGGGAAUUGUUCGCAAUGGGCGCAAGCCUGACGACGCAACGCCGCGUGGAGGAUGAAGAUCUUCGGGUCGUAAACUCCUGUCGAGCGGGACGAACACUUAUCCAGUGAAUACCUGGGUAGGCUGACGGUACCGCUAAAGGAAGCCCCGGCUAACUCCGUGCCAGCAGCCGCGGUAAUACGGGGGGGGCAAGCGUUGUUCGGAAUUACUGGGCGUAAAGGGCUCGUAGGCGGCCAACUAAGUCGGACGUGAAAUCCCCAGGCUCAACCUGGGAACUGCGUCCGAUACUGGAUGGCUUGAAUCCGGGAGAGGGAUGCAGAAUUCCAGGUGUAGCGGUGAAAUGCGUAGAUAUCUGGAGGAAUACCGGUGGCGAAGGCGGCAUCCUGGACCGGCAUUGACGCUGAGGAGCGAAAGCCAGGGGAGCAAA
rnacentral:rRNA from 1 species